rnacentral:rRNA from 1 species
AGGGUUCGAUUCUGGCUCAGAACGAACGCUGGUGGCGUGUCUAUACAUGCAAGUCGAGCGAGGCAGCAAUGCCGAGCGGCGAACGGGUGAGUAACGCGUAAGCAAUCUGCCCCAUAUCAGGAAAUACCCGUGCCAACGCGCGGUUAAUGUCCAGGAGAGUGGCCCCCUGCAUGGGGGGUUGACUAGAGAUUUAUCGGUAUGGGAUGAGCUUGCGUCCGAUUAGCUAGUUGGCGGGGCAACGGCCCACCAAGGCGACGAUCGGUAGCCGGCCUGAGAGGGUGAUCGGCCACAUUGGGACUGAGAUACGGCCCAGACUCCUACGGGAGGCAGCAGUAGGGAAUAUUGCACAAUGGGGGAAACCCUGAUGCAGCAACGCCACGUGUGGGAAGAAGCAUUUCGGUGUGUAAACCACUGUCAUGAGGGAAUAAGGCCCGCCUUCGGACGGGAUUGAAUGUACCUUGAGAGGAAGCACCGGCAAACUUCGUGCCAGCCGCAGC